AACGUAGGUGGCGAGCGUUAUCCGGAUUCAUUGGGCGUAAAGAGCUUGUAGGUGGCUUCGUAAGUUGGACGUGAAAUCUCCGGGCUUAACUUGGAGAGGCCGUUCAAUACUGCGGGGCUUGAGGAUGUCAGAGGGAAGUGGAAUUCCUGGUGUAGCAGUGAAAUGCGUAGAUAUCAGGAGGAACACCCGUGGCGAAGGCGGCUUCCUGGGGCAUUCCUGACACUGAGAAGCGAAAGCUAGGGGAGCAAAC
rnacentral:rRNA from 1 species